AUGAGGUCCGAGUUGGUAUGCAUGGUGGCCUGGUGGGUCCAGAUAGUGACUGACGGAUCGACGAAACCAUCCUUCACCUCCGACUCUCGUUCGACUUUUCCAUGGCCCUCAUCAUCUUCUUCUGCUCACCCUUCUCUUCUUCAUCGCCUUCUUUUCUGAAAUUAUGUUUAGUAAGAAUUUCCGCUGCUUGUGUGGGAUUCACAGAGUAACGAACCGAGUGGAUUAAAAUUGAUACUACUACUAAAUCUGUUCUUGUUAAUUGAUUUUUCACUUUUUGCCUCAUACGUCACUUUUUUCCAAGUUUCCUCACCAAAACUCAGAAAAUCAGCUUCACUAUCUUUCGCUUCUCAUUGUUUUGUGUUCACAAUCGGUUCCUUCCUUCUCUCCAUGAGACUUCCACCGCCUAAACCCAAUUGAUCUUCAAGAAACCCCAAAAAUUCUCUUUAUAUUUGACUGGUCAGUGGGUUGCCCCCACCGUCGGCAGAUGAGAUUCAUUGUAUAGGAAGACACGAAAGAUAAGUGUGAAUCGUCGCCUUUACCACUCUCAGCGAACGCUACCACGAUAACUUAAGGUCGAUUUCUUCUACAUCCAGUGAAUCGGAAGGGAUAUCAGGGAUUGACGGCAGCAAAAGCGACUGGAUUUGCUAACCCUGGCCUAGCAAAUUCAUUAUCAAUUUUAUGGCAAAAUCGACACUUUGUAUCUUGAUAAUCGCUACCUUCAAUUUGCAGAAAACCGUCUUCAAAUGUUGAUUGUGAAUGAGGUGUUUGUGGACCACCCUUCUUACCAUCGUCCUGGAAAUCCAUAUGGUGAUUCAUAUGGUGACUAAUUAUUAGCUGUUCUUAUCCUCCAGUUCUCAAUUGAUUUAGAUCAAUAUGAUAGAAGAGAGCAAUUAAAGAAAAGUAGGCUUAGAAAAGUUAUUAUGUUCUUGUCAAAAUCCGAUGAAGAGACCACAUCCAAUAGAAAGCUUGCUAAAGAUUUUGUUGACAAAUGGAUGUAAUGCAGAGUCGACCAAUUUUUAAUAAGAGCACAAGAUUUGAGGACGUGUGAAACUAUGAAGACGACAUAACGCCACCAAAUUUGAAGUUUUUUUGGGUUUGAAAACAAUUUUAAUUCACUAAUCAGGUGGAACUCAAAUAGAAAUUUCAACAUUCACGCUAACCAAAAGUUUUACAGAAUUCAAUUAAUUUUGUAUAUAAGGUGAUAUGUGCAAAAUGGAAUAACAUUUCGGAUGACUUUGAAAAUAUGAUGGACAGAUGCUGCAUCUCUUGAUGAAUGCUUAGACCAAUUUAGAGCAAAAGAAUGGGCUGAAAGAGAUAAUAUGUAUAAACGUGAUGGGAAUUUUUUUUUCUCCAUUAUCAACUUAUUUAUUUGGUUCUUUCAUUUCUUAUUUCAUUUUACAUGUUUGUGUUCAUGAAGGAAGAACAGGGAUGAAGGCUCUACUGUCUUCAUCUUUCAAUACUCUCUAUAUGAUUGACAACUUUCUCA